UACGUAAGGACCGAGCGUUGUCCGGAAUCAUUGGGCGUAAAGGGUACGUAGGCGGUUAGAAAAGUUAGAAGUGAAAGGCUAUAGCUCAACUAUAGUAAGCUUUUAAAACUGUUUAACUUGAGAGAUGGAAGGGAAAGCGGAAUUCCAUGUGUAGCGGUGAAAUGCGUAGAUAUAUGGAGGAACACCAGUGGCGAAGGCGGCUUUCUGGUCUGUAACUGACGCUGAGGCUCGAAAGCGUGGGUAGCAAACAGG
rnacentral:rRNA from 1 species